GGGGCUGAUUAGGAUUCGACGGGAUACACGAAACCCUAGGUGCAUGCCGAGGUGAGGCUGGCCUCGUAAAAAGCCUCAAACAUAUAGUUGCAAACGACGACAACUACGCUCUAGCGGCAUAAUAGCCCGCUAGCCAUCCACUCGCGCUUCGUCUGUGAGACGAGAUUCGGAUGGUCAUCAAAGCAGACUCGCGUGGAGGCUUCGCCCGGAGCCAAAGCGUUAAACUCAAUCGGGCUCGCCGUGUAUGCAGCCUGUUAGUCGGCGUCAACACGGUUAACCAAAAGACUGACUAAGCAUGUAGUACCGAGGAUGUAGGUAUUGCGGACGGGGGUUCAAAUCCCCCCAGCUCCACCA
rnacentral:tmRNA from 1 species